rnacentral:rRNA from 1 species
AUGCCUCAUGGUGAUAUCCCAUGGUGUAUGCUCUUUGCGGAUGAUGUGGUGCUAGUUGACGAUAGUCGGACGGGGGUAAAUAGGAAGUUAGAGUUAUGGAGACAAACCUUGGAAUCGAAAGGGUUUAGGCUUAGUAGAACUAAAACCGAGUACAUGAUGUGCGGUUUCAGUACUACUAGCUGUGAGGAGGAGGAGGUUAGCCUUGAUGGCCAGGUGGUACCUCGAAAGGACACCUUUCGGUAUUUGGGGUCAAUGUUGCAGGAGGAUGGGGGUAUUGAUGAAGAUGUGAACCAUCGAAUCAAAGCCGGAUGGAUGAAGUGGCGCCAAGCUUCUGGCAUUCUCUGUGACAAGAGAGUGCCACAAAAGCUAAAAGGCAAGUUCUACAGGACGGCGGUUCGACCCGCAAUGUUGUAUGGCGCGGAGUGUUGGCCGACUAAAAGGCGACAUGUUCAACAGUUAGGUGUGGCGGAGAUGCGUAUGUUGAGAUGGAUGUGUGGCCACACAAGGAAGGAUCGAGUCCGGAAUGAUGAUAUACGAGAUAGAGUUGGGGUAGCACCAAUUGAGGAGAAGCUUGUCCAACAUCGUUUGAGAUGGUUUGGGCAUAUUCAGCGCAGGCCUCCAGAAGCUCCAGUGCAUAGCGGACGGCUAAAGCGUGCGGAGAAUGUCAAGAGAGGGCGGGGUCGACCGAUUUUGACAUGGGAGGAGUCCGUUAAGAGAGACCUGAAGGAUUGGAAUAUCGACAAAGAGCUAGCUAUGGACAGGGGUGCGUGGAAGCUUGCUAUCCAUGUGCCAGAGCCAUGA